GAAAUGUCUCAUACGGUCACCCUACUGGUUGUAGCAUCGUGUUAGCUUUUGACUUCUUCUGAUUGUAUUUCGGCUUCAAAAGGAGUCCAUGGGGAAAAUGCAUAGGCUUUCGGUCGAGCGAACCAGCGCGACGCUUACUUCCGGGUUAGCCUACUAAACAUCAUCUCUGAGACGUUCGACUUUCUGGACCCAGCUGUGAUGGACAAAUGGUUUCUGGCACUUGCCGGCCUUGUAGGCAGUGAACUGCACACGGUUCCACUCUCAAUGUCACAUGGCUACAGGAAGAGCUCCAUUACAGAGCUAUUUCAAAUACCAACCACUGAGAAAAUGGCCCCACCGAGCACAAUGAAAGUAACUCGCAACCAAUUAGACUCUUCAGUCACACUUUAUGGCUUUUACUGAAGUGUUAGGGUCGAGAAGAGAGAGGUCACGGUUAUUCUCUUUACUUUAAAAGAGUUUAAUAUCUGUGAGGUGUGUGGCUUGAGUUGAAAACAUCAUUUUCAUACUCUGAUUGAUAACCUGUGAAUGGUGUUUGGUUUUAGAAACGUAGUUAACAUUCUUACAGCAUA